rnacentral:rRNA from 1 species
UACGUAGGCAGCAAGCGUUGUUCGGAUUCACUGGGCGUAAAGGGUGCGUAGGUGGUGGGGUAAGUCUCGUGUGAAAGCUCGCAGCUUAACUGCGAAAAGUCACGGGAUACUAUUCCGCUGGAGGCUUGGAGGGGGGACUGGAAUACUUGGUGUAGCAGUGAAAUGCGUAGAUAUCAAGUGGAACACCAGUGGCGAAGGCGAGUCCCUGGACAAGACCUGACACUGAGGCACGAAGGCCAGGGGAGCAAACGGG